UGCGUCGUUGUACGUCCUCCUCCUUCCUCGUCUGUCUCCCUCGCACGCGAAAGAAAAACCAACUAGAGGAAAAAAACCGGAGCCCUCCGCGGCUCCGCCCCCGUGCCCCCGAUUCACUGCCGCUCCCCACGGAGGAAGCCCGCAUCUCUUCUCAUCUCAAAUCUCUUCUCUCCUAACCCUCCAUCGCGCCUCUCAUCCGCCGCCCGCCUCACCUCGCCGAAACCGAAGCCUGGAUCGACCUAGCCGCCGCCGCUCUCCUAACACACCGCCGCCACGCUGAUCUGCGCACCUCCGGUCCAUAGCUGCCGGUCCCUCCGGCCGCUCUCCCAGCCAUGUCGCCGUCGGCAUGGUGGACGCCGCGUUCUCGGACGUGCCGGAAUGGUCCUGGCCAGAUCGGGAGCUGGGGAAGGCCACCCGUCCCAGAUCCGGCGGUGUUGUUCUGCAGCGACGAUUGCGAGCGGCGGCAAGACGAAGGAGUUCAGUGAUGCCCCAAAUCCUCUCCAGGUAACCGUUUUACAUAGCCUAAUUACUCUACCCCAAAUUGGGAUUUCCACGACCACCGCUGUGUACCUCAUCGAGAUCCUUCACCACGUGCUCCGUCGAGUCCGCGACAUUUCUGACGGCAGCCACCCAUCCACCAGUUGAACAGGUUCUUGGCCUGCAUUAGAACUUAUCUCGGAAACAUCUUGGUUUGCUGUGGUCAGUUCAUGCUCCUCCCUCCGUUCCAUAAUUCUUGUCGAAAUAUUACAUGUAUCUAGACGCUUUUAAGGAAUAGAUACAUCCAUUUUUGGGCAAAUUUGAGACAAGAAUUAUCGGAUGGAGGGAGUAUUUUGAAGAAUACUUGAAUAGGUUCUUAUUCUAAUUAAUUCCAAUGUGUAAUGAAACAUGCCCAAGUUAAUCACACAAUAGUAAAUGAACUGUGCAACACUAUAAGUGUUGCUUGACCCAUGUUUGCUACUUGCUAUGAUUUUUGCAGGCACAAAAUAGUAAUAGUCGAAGGAAAUUAUUUCUUGCUGAAAGAAAAUAUUUGGACAGACAUUAGACUAUUAGAGACAUGGAGAGAUCCAUGGGCCAAAUACCUUGCAAGAUCGAGACACUAAGACAUUUUGUAUUGGCUGCAAGGCGAAACAUGGAUCGAGUUUUCCUUCCUCCAGGUGAAUCCCAAUCUCUCGCCGUCGAGAUAUGGCAGAGUGGAUCGAGGUUGGCACAAUAAUUUAUCUGGCGAGAUCGAGGAGAUUGAUUGAUGAGGCGAGCAUACCGCUGGCGACAGGAGAAGUGGCAGACAGGGUCAUGCACGCAUCGGCGGCCGUCGGACCCGCGCAGGCGAUACGCUGCGUAGAACGAGGGAGGCGUCGGUGGCUACUGCUUGCGUGCCGACUGUAUCAAAUUGGAGCUGUGAAACAUCAGUCCAGGUGGCCAUCGACGCACUGAAAGAGGAACCAAAUUGCCACCGCUGCUGCUGUCAUUUUAUUUGACCAUAUGUUAGCUUCCUAUCCAUCAGCACAUGACUAUGCCUCCUUAUCCAUGAUAUCAUGUUCCAGGCAUUUGUGCCUUAGAAGUAGUCCAGUUAGGAAAGGAACUGGAAUUAAUCUGCACCACGUCAGGUUAGGGAAGGUUAUCUGCUCCAGUAAGUUUAUGAUCAAUCAACUCAAGCUAAGGUUGAUUUGAUUGAGGUGCAGAUGUUUUACUUUCAACUUUGUGCAAUUGAAGUUUUUUUUGUGUCACAUCUGACUCUUGAAGCGCGACAAUGACGCAAGGCUGUAUGGAGAGAAAUACAAGGACUACAAUGCUAUUGUGAAUCAGACCAUAGGGAUGCAGUAAGUGUUCCGGAAAGAUUGUAUGUUUUAUUGUUUGAUGAAUGGAAAGGAAACCAUCCAUACCGGAUUCCAAAUACAUAAUUUUUCUGUAAUAACGCAACAAAGGUCCUUUAUAUGCAUAGUUUCCUAGAAUUUCUUUGAGCGGAGCAUAGCGGUCUGUGGCAGCGAUGCGGCAGUCUGCAGUUUGUAAAUUUUAGGUACUCAUUUUGGAUGGGGAACUGGCUCGAGAUUUAUCUC